rnacentral:rRNA from 1 species
ACGCGUGGAACCUUACCAGGUCUUGACAUCCCAUUGACCGCUAUGGAGACAUAGCUUUCCCUUUUAGGGACAGUGGUGACAGGUGGUGCAUGGUUGUCGUCAGCUCGUGUCGUGAGAUGUUGGGUUAAGUCCCGCAACGAGCGCAACCCUUGUUCUUAGUUGCCAUCAUUUAGUUGGGCACUCUAAGGAGACUGCCGGUGACAAACCGGAGGAAGGUGGGGAUGACGUCAAAUCAUCAUGCCCCUUAUGACCUGGGCUACACACGUGCUACAAUGGAUGGUACAAAGGGCAGCAAAGCGGUGACGCCUAGCAAAUCCCAUAAAACCAUUCUCAGUUCGGAUUGUAGGCUGCAACUCGCCUACAUGAAGCUGGAAUCGCUAGUAAUCGCGGAUCAGCAUGCCGCGGUGAAUACGUUCCCGGGCCUUGCACACACCGCCCGU